rnacentral:rRNA from 1 species
GACGAACGCUGGCGGCGUGCUUAACACAUGCAAGUCGAGCGGUAAGGCCCUUUCGGGGGUACACGAGCGGCGAACGGGUGAGUAACACGUGGGUGACCUGCCCUCAGCUCUGGGAUAAGCCUGGGAAACCGGGUCUAACACCGGAUAUGACUCCAUGACGCAUGUUGUGGGGUGGAAAGCCUUGUGCGGCUGAGGAUGGGCCCGCGGCCUAUCAGCUUGUUGGUGGGGUGAUGGCCUACCAAGGCGACGACGGGUAGCCGGCCUGAGAGGGCGACCGGCCACACUGGGACUGAGACACGGCCCAGACUCCUACGGGAGGCAGCAGUGGGGAAUCUUGCGCAAUGGGCGAAAGCCUGACGCAGCGACGCCGCGUGAGGGAUGACGGCCU